CACUGCUAAACAGUGGCAAAUCCAGGGCCAGAAGUCCUAUCUCCAUCCUAGUCAGUGCUCUUUUCUCUAUUCCAUGUUGCUUCUGUGUGAUGCAGGAGCAAGAGGAUGGAGCAGAGACAGAGCGGAGAAAAUGAGGGCACACAGCAAGUAAGGAGCAAAAGUCAGGACUCAAACAAUGUCUCUUAUCUCCAGUCCAGCUUUCUCAUGGACCCUGCUGCUGAAGCUGGACCCCUCCACUGUCUUUCCCUAUGAAGACAGGGACCAGCACUUACCACCACCACCUACGAGCCACCAGCUGCUCCUUCCUGAGAAGAUGGAACAGACUCAAAAAUUAACUAACUUGUCCAAUCUCAUACAGCCAGAAAAGUGCAGAGCAGGAAGUAAAAUCCAUGAAGUCCAACUAGAAGCCAGUUCAGCCGACUCCCGCAGAGUCCCCUUGCCACCCUGCCUAUACUGCCGGCCUUCUUCUGAUUAUGCUUGGAUUAGAUGUCCCUACAGGCAUCGUUGUUAACAACCGGAUAAUUCUCCCUGGCUUAUAUUUCUAGGCUGUCAUUUUCCAAGAGGCUUUUAGACAUGAAAGCUAAUGGGAUUACCCCAUCCAUCUAUUGUUCUGAGCCAAGCCUUCUCACCUAAGCAAGCACUUUUCUGGUGGAUGUUGAAUCUCUUUCUUCCUAUAUUUGAAUUCCUUCAAAUUGGCUGGGCUUCUGGUAAGCAUGACAACACUAGCAACCUGAUGUCGGGGAGGGCUGCUGGAAGCCACCUUGGAUAAUGGUGAAGAAGGUGAAACCACGUGUCCACCUCCACACUAGCCUCUGAGCUUGAGAUGUUCACCAGAAGCCUCACUGUUCAACCUUGCCUCUUAAUUUGUGAAAUAAUACAUGCACACAGAUCCACUCAGCCUUACACACCCCUGCUCUGCCACUCAGUACAGACAUGCUGCCUGAAGUUCCUGACUUCCUUGGCACCUUUCCAUAGUGGUACCUUUCCAUCCUUCCUGGUUAAGCAAAUUUGGGAAAGAAUCAUCUCAGUUGCCAGUCUGGUUUAUAAUUAUCCCAACAGGCCUCACUUUCCAUUUAUGAACUUGGCAAAAGAAAUCACCAAGGAAAAACCUGCCCUACUAAUGACUCAGCUGACGUCACUCAUCAUUGCCUUACUGCUUUAAACACAUUCACCUGAUAAGCCUAUGGUGACUAAUAAAUUCAAAGAACUUAUACCCA
ensembl:lncRNA